ensembl:lncRNA
CCAUGGUAAACUGCAGAGAAUUCUAUUUAUUUACUUCGGAAAGAUGAAAGGCUGAGUCACCCAUCAGCCAGUGACAUAAACCUUGGGUAGAGUGAUAUCCUACCUCAUUCCUCACUCAUCUGAUGCCAGAAAUAUGUCACAAGCAGGAGGUAUAAAAACUGAGCAGACAAGUCUCUGGGAAAGCUGCAGUCUUUCGUGUUCAGAUGAAAACAAAACCUGUAAAGCCUACGAAAACCUGUAAAAAUGAAAUGGCUGGUUAGUGUUCAACUAGCUGUUUACCUGUGGAGCUCUGAAAGAGAAUCACUUCUGCACUUGAACACUCUCCAAUGAGAUAGAACAUUUUACAUCUACAUACAAACCCGCCUGUAUACCCACCCUUUCACAUCUGACCUCCCACUCUUUUCCCAGUAAAGUACCCUAGUAGCCUGAAAAGGAUCAGUUAGAGGAAAAAUAAAACCACAUACACACCCACUUGAUGUAUUUACAUAUUCUCUGGACCUUGAGACCAAACUCCAUUAUUCCCACUGACUGAUUGUUUUUGCCUUUGAGGGAUAGGUCUCAGGUGGAUGCUUUCAGAUCAAAAUUACAAUCGUGGACUUAGCUUCUAAACCCACUUAUACAGUUUACUCUAAAGGUAUGUGAACUCCUUUGCCAGCAUAAAGGAUGUAAUACAAAAACUGUGAACCAGGCCCUGGGAUGUGAUGGAGGCCUCCUCCUUUGGCUUGAAGUAUUUGUGGAGUCACUGCCUGAUUUAUUGGAUCUCAGACUGCAGUAAGACAUCUCUCUCUGCAGACAUACUAAAUCCAGUCUCUAUUAGUAAGUAGGCAAACAUCCCAGCAUGAGAACGGCUUAAUAGGAAGCUUCCCCCCUCUUAAGUAUCCUUGCAGAUACUUAAGAUACUCCCACUUAAGUGGGAAGCUGAGGUUAGAUAAGAAGUUGCAGCAGGGAGGAUAUGACCAGAGGAAGAGCGGAGUCAGAGGAGAGAAAAGCUGAGAGAAAGCUACAGUAAAGCUGCAGAGUUCUGUGAUUAACUCUCAGGGAGAAAAUGUCUCACUUGUAGCAAGGAGUAACCAAUGUAAUACCAUUUCCCGGAAGCCUAGAUUCACAAAAGACAACCUUAACAACAGUUUCACUUCCCAAUCAUUUCUACACUCGCUCUCAUACAGCAUUUUGUACUUUUUUAGUGUAACAACUACUGCUUCAUCUCUAAUUCUUGAAUGCAAACAGCAUGUAUAGGGUUUAAGUGUGAAGAUUCUGGUACAGAGGGACCGUAUGAUUUGCCUCUGUGGGAAGACGCCAGAAGCUGCCCCUUGUCAGGUAAGAGCCAGCUCCAGCUGCUCCAAAAGGGAUCUACCACUGGCCAGAGCUGAGUGAUGAGAAAUACUGAGUGUGCUUCUAGAAGAGCAGACUGAAGGAAGGGAAAACAUAUCUUGCAACAGCAGCUGGGAGAGAGGAGUAAGAUACUCUGAGAGAAACAGCCCUGAAACCACCACGGUCAGUGCAGAAGGAAGGCAGUAGGUGCUCCAGGCAUGGAGCAGAAGUUCCCUGCAGCCCAUGGGCACCACCUGGAGCAGAUUUCCAUGAACAGCCUGUGGAGGAGCCCAUGGUGGAGCAAGAAGUCUGGAGGAUCUGCCACCCAUGAGAGGACCCAUGCUGGAGCAGUCUGCUCCUGAAGAUGGGGUCCUGUGGUACGGAUUGAUGUUGCAGCGGUUUCAAAAUCAGAGAAUGGUUUAGAUUGGAAGGGACCAUCUGGAAGUCUUGAAGAACUGCAACCUGUGGUAAACUCACUCUGGAUCUGUCAGUGAAGUACUGCAUCCCAUGGGAGAGACCUCACAAAGGAGCACUGGAAGAGUGAGGACGAAGAGUGGCAGUGAUGAAGCACUAGGAACUGACUGCAUCCCUAUUUACCAGAGUCUCUUGAGGGGAGAAAAUAGAAAAGAUAAAUAGGAUGAUGAUUUUAGUUUAAAUUCAGUAAUCACUGCUAUUGUUUUUUACUAAUUGGCAGGAAAUUACACUAAUCUUCUCUAUGCUGAGUCUGUUUUGCCCAUGGUUGUAAUUGGUGGGGGAUCUCUUUGCCUUAAUCUCAAUCCAUGAACUUUUCCUUGGUAUUUUUCUCCCUCUAUCCUUUUUGAGGAAGGGAAGUGAGAGAGGUCCUGUGUGGUGCCUAGCUGCCCAUCGGUGUUAAGCCACAACACAUAACAUUAUGGGAAUGUUUUUGCAUACUUCCCCUCAUUUCAUUUUCUGUUUUGUUCAGUUUUGCAGGAGCAUGUCCAUUUCCACCAGUAUUCUGGGAGUCUUAACAAGAAACACACUAUUAAUGUUUACAGAGCCUCCUACACGUAUCUUUUAUCUUUCUUUUAAGGAUAAAUAAAAUAACAGACAAAUUUUGCUCUAUGUUAUGCAAUUCCAAUCAGUCCUCACCACAAUAACAAAAGGCUAGUUAUGCAGGCUCUAUUUCAAAAUAAACAAGUUGAAUGUUGGGAGCUAAUGAUAGAUGUUAAAGCCAAGAAAAAUCAUGAACUCAUAUCGCUUUCCUUAGUCUACAGAAGUAAACAGCACUUUCCAGAAAACCAUCCAGAAAUGAAAUAUCUACAUUUUCAUUUGGUUCCAUUGUUUAUUAUUAUACAGUAAGAAAGUAUGUAAUAUUUCUUUGCUGAAUUUAUAUGCCAUUAUGUUCAAGUCAUUAUUUCUUAUAUCUCAUUAAAUGAAAAAGCCCUGAAUACUCUUUGUGAAGGUCAUUAUUUAUUCUAAUCAAGACAACCCAGACCAUACAACAAACUGAGCAAGACCACUCAGUCUCUCCUGAGGGCAUUUUCUGUAUUCUUUCCUGAAAUUAUUACAUCUCUAAACUAACCUAUGUACCUAUCUUAUCUAACACUGCUCUUUUCAAUAUAAAGUGCCAACAAUUUUGGCAAAACAGUACUCCCCAAGGACUGAGAACCCUUUCUUCCCUACACUGUCAUCAUCUUCUAUUUAAUAUGAAUUGAUAGAAUAUUCUCCCUACCUUGAUUGUUACUUUAUGUAGCUGUGUAUCAUACACACAUAUGUGUGUAACAGAACCCAAAUCAAG